UGGGGAAUUUUGGACAAUGGACGCAAGUCUGAUCCAGCCAUGCCGCGUGCGGGAAGAAGGCCUUCGGGUUGUAAACCGCUUUUGUCAGGGAAGAAACGAGUUUCUCUAAUACAGAGACUUAAUGACGGUACCUGAAGAAUAAGCACCGGCUAACUACGUGCCAGCAGCCGCGGUAAUACGUAGGGUGCAAGCGUUAAUCGGAAUUACUGGGCGUAAAGCGUGCGCAGGCGGUUAUAUAAGACAGAUGUGAAAUCCCCGGGCUCAACCUGGGAACUGCAUUUGUGACUGUAUAGCUAGAGUACGGCAGAGGGGGAUGGAAUUCCGCGUGUAGCAGUGAAAUGCGUAGAUAUGCGGAGGGACACCGAUGGCGAAGGCAAUCCCCUGGGCCUGUACUGACGCUCAUGCACGAAAGCGUGGGGAGCAAACA
rnacentral:rRNA from 1 species